rnacentral:rRNA from 1 species
UACGUAGGGGGGCUAGCGUUGUCCGGAAUCAUUGGGCGUAAAGCGCGUGUAGGCGGCUCGGUAAGUCCGCUGUAAAAAGUCAAAGGCUCAACCUUUUGAAUGUCAGUGGAUACUGCCGGGCUAGAGUCCGGAAGAGGCGAGUGGAACUCCUGGUGUAGCGGUGGAAUGCGCAGAUAUCAGGAAGAACACCAACGGCGAAGGCAGCUCGCUGGGGACGGUACUGACGCUGAGACGCGAAAAGCGUGGGGGAGCGAAACAGG